UACGUAGGGUGCGAGCGUUAAUCGGAAUUACUGGGCGUAAAGCGUGCGCAGGCGGCGCGUUAAGACAGGUGUGAAAGCCCCGAGCUUAACUUGGGAAUUGCGCUUGUGACUGGCGUGCUGGAGUGUGGCGGAGGGAGGUGGAAUUCCACGUGUAGCAGUGAAAUGCGUAGAGAUGUGGAGGAACACCGAUGGCGAAGGCAGCCUCCUGGGCCAGCACUGACGCUCAUGCACGAAAGCGUGGGGAGCAAACAGG
rnacentral:rRNA from 1 species